UUUUGGUCCAUGGGGGGAACCCUGAAGCCGCAACGCCGCGUGGAGGAAGAAGGUUUUAGGGUUGUAAAAUCCUUUUUUUAGAGAAGAUAAAGACGGUAUCCAAGGAAUAAACACCGGCUAACUUCGUGCCCGCCACCCCGGUAAUUCGGAGGGGGCCAGCGUUUCUUGGAAUCCCUGGGGGUAAAGAGCGCGUAGGCGGGAUAGUCAGUCAGGUGUGAAAUCCUAUGGCUUAACCAUAGAACUGCAUUUGAAACUACUAUUCUAGAGUGUGGGAGAGGUAGGGGGAAUUUUUGGUGUAGGGGUAAAAUCUGUAGAGAUCAAGAGGAAUCCUCAUUGGGAAGGGGGCCUGCUGAACAUUACUGACCCUGAUGCGCG
rnacentral:rRNA from 1 species